rnacentral:piRNA from 1 species
CUAAUGGUCAGAUUGUCAAGCAUGUGGCA